rnacentral:rRNA from 1 species
GGUUAAGCGACUAAGCGUACACGGUGGAUGCCCUGGCAGUCAGAGGCGAUGAAGGACGUGCUAAUCUGCGAAAAGCGUCGGUAAGGUGAUAUGAACCGUUAUAACCGGCGAUGUCCGAAUGGGGAAACCCAGUGUGAUUCGUCACACUAUCGUUAACUGAAUACAUAGGUUAACGAGGCGAACCGGGGGAACUGAAACAUCUAAGUACCCCGAGGAAAAGAAAUCAACCGAGAUUCCCCCAGUAGCGGCGAGCGAACGGGGAGCAGCCCAGAGUCUGAAUCAGCUUGUGUGUUAGUGGAACGGUCUGGAAAGUCCGACGGUACAGGGUGAUAGUCCCGUACACCAAAAUGCACAGGCUGUGAACUCGAAGAGUAGGGCGGGACACGUGGUAUCCUGUCUGAAUAUGGGGGGACCAUCCUCCAAGGCUAAAUACUCCUGACUGACCGAUAGUGAACCAGUACCGUGAGGGAAAGGCGAAAAGAACCCCGGCGAGGGGAGUGAAAAAGAACCUGAAACCGUGUACGUACAAGCAGUGGGAGCACCUUUAUGGUGUGACUGCGUACCUUUUGUAUAAUGGGUCAGCGACUUAUAUUCUGUAGCAAGGUUAACCGUAUAGGGGAGCCGCAGGGAAACCGAGUCUUAACUGGGCGUUAAGUUGCAGGGUAUAGACCCGAAACCCGGUGAUCUAGCCAUGGGCAGGUUGAAGGUUGGGUAACACUAACUGGAGGACCGAACCGACUAAUGUUGAAAAAUUAGCGGAUGACUUGUGGCUGGGGGUGAAAGGCCAAUCAAACCGGGAGAUAGCUGGUUCUCCCCGAAAGCUAUUUAGGUAGCGCCUCGUGAAUUCAUCUUCGGGGGUAGAGCACUGUUUCGGCUAGGGGUCAUCCCGACUUACCAACCCGAUGCAAACUACGAAUACCGAAGAAUGUUAUCACGGGAGACACACGGCGGGUGCUAACGUCCGUCGUGAAGAGGGAAACAACCCAGACCGCCAGCUAAGGUCCCAAAGUCAUGGUUAAGUGGGAAACGAUGUGGGAAGGCACAGACAGCCAGGAUGUUGGCUUAGAAGCAGCCAUCAUUUAAAGAAAGCGUAAUAGCUCACUGGUCGAGUCGGCCUGCGCGGAAGAUGUAACGGGGCUAAACCAUGCACCGAAGCUGCGGCAGCGACGCUUAUGCGUUGUUGGGUAGGGGAGCGUUCUGUAAGCCUGCGAAGGUGACCUGUGAGGGUUGCUGGAGGUAUCAGAAGUGCGAAUGCUGACAUAAGUAACGAUAAAGCGGGUGAAAAGCCCGCUCGCCGGAAGACCAAGGGUUCCUGUCCAACGUUAAUCGGGGCAGGGUGAGUCGACCCCUAAGGCGAGGCCGAAAGGCGUAGUCGAUGGGAAACAGGUUAAUAUUCCUGUACUUGGUGUUACUGCGAAGGGGGGACGGAGAAGGCUAUGUUAGCCGGGCGACGGUUGUCCCGGUUUAAGCAUGUAGGCUGGUUAUCCAGGCAAAUCCGGAUAAUCAAGGCUGAGGUGUGAUGACGAGGCACUACGGUGCUGAAGUAACAAAUGCCCUGCUUCCAGGAAAAGCCUCUAAGCAUCAGGUAACACGAAAUCGUACCCCAAACCGACACAGGUGGUCAGGUAGAGAAUACCAAGGCGCUUGAGAGAACUCGGGUGAAGGAACUAGGCAAAAUGGUGCCGUAACUUCGGGAGAAGGCACGCUGGUGUGUAGGUGAAGUCCCUGCGGAUGGAGCUGAGACCAGUCGAAGAUACCAGCUGGCUGCAACUGUUUAUUAAAAACACAGCACUGUGCAAACACGAAAGUGGACGUAUACGGUGUGACGCCUGCCCGGUGCCGGAAGGUUAAUUGAUGGGGUUAUCCGUAAGGAGAAGCUCUUGAUCGAAGCCCCGGUAAACGGCGGCCGUAACUAUAACGGUCCUAAGGUAGCGAAAUUCCUUGUCGGGUAAGUUCCGACCUGCACGAAUGGCGUAAUGAUGGCCAGGCUGUCUCCACCCGAGACUCAGUGAAAUUGAACUCGCUGUGAAGAUGCAGUGUACCCGCGGCAAGACGGAAAGACCCCGUGAACCUUUACUAUAGCUUGACACUGAACAUUGAGCCUUGAUGUGUAGGAUAGGUGGGAGGCUUUGAAGCGUGGACGCCAGUCUGCGUGGAGCCAACCUUGAAAUACCACCCUUUAAUGUUUGAUGUUCUAACGUUGGCCCCUGACCGGGGUUGCGGACAGUGUCUGGUGGGUAGUUUGACUGGGGCGGUCUCCUCCCAAAGCGUAACGGAGGAGCACGAAGGUUAGCUAAUCCUGGUCGGACAUCAGGAGGUUAGUGCAAUGGCAUAAGCUAGCUUGACUGCGAGCGUGACGGCGCGAGCAGGUGCGAAAGCAGGUCAUAGUGAUCCGGUGGUUCUGAAUGGAAGGGCCAUCGCUCAACGGAUAAAAGGUACUCCGGGGAUAACAGGCUGAUACCGCCCAAGAGUUCAUAUCGACGGCGGUGUUUGGCACCUCGAUGUCGGCUCAUCACAUCCUGGGGCUGAAGUAGGUCCCAAGGGUAUGGCUGUUCGCCAUUUAAAGUGGUACGCGAGCUGGGUUUAGAACGUCGUGAGACAGUUCGGUCCCUAUCUGCCGUGGGCGCUGGAGAAUUGAGGGGGGCUGCUCCUAGUACGAGAGGACCGGAGUGGACGCAUCACUGGUGUUCGGGUUGUCAUGCCAAUGGCACUGCCCGGUAGCUAAAUGCGGAAGAGAUAAGUGCUGAAAGCAUCUAAGCACGAAACUUGCCCCGAGAUGAGUUCUCCCUGAGACUUUAAGUCUCCUGAAGGAACGUUAAAGACGAUGACGUUGAUAGGCCGGGUGUGUAAGCGCAGCGAUGCGUUGAGCUAACCGGUACUAAUGAACCGUGAGGCUUAACCUU